rnacentral:rRNA from 1 species
CAGUAGCCGCGGUAAAACAGAGGGUGCAAGCGUUAAUCGGAAUUACUGGGCGUAAAGCGCGCGUAGGUGGUUUGUUAAGUUGGAUGUGAAAUCCCCGGGCUCAACCUGGGAACUGCAUCCAAAACUGGCAAGCUAGAGUAUGGUAGAGGGUGGUGGAAUUUCCUGUGUAGCGGUGAAAUGCGUAGAUAUAGGAAGGAACACCAGUGGCGAAGGCGACCACCUGGACUGAUACUGACACUGAGGUGCGAAAGCGUGGGGAGCAAACAGGAUUAGAUACCCCAGUAGUCCCUGUCUCUUAUAA